AGAGUUUGAUCAUGGCUCAGAUUGAACGCUGGCGGCAGGCCUAACACAUGCAAGUCGAGCGGUAGCACAGAGAGCUUGCUCUCGGGUGACGAGCGGCGGACGGGUGAGUAAUGUCUGGGAAACUGCCUGAUGGAGGGGGAUAACUACUGGAAACGGUAGCUAAUACCGCAUAAUGUCGCAAGACCAAAGUGGGGGACCUUCGGGCCUCAUGCCAUCAGAUGUGCCCAGAUGGGAUUAGCUAGUAGGUGGGGUAACGGCUCACCUAGGCGACGAUCCCUAGCUGGUCUGAGAGGAUGACCAGCCACACUGGAACUGAGACACGGUCCAGACUCCUACGGGAGGCAGCAGUGGGGAAUAUUGCACAAUGGGCGCAAGCCUGAUGCAGCCAUGCCGCGUGUGUGAAGAAGGCCUUCGGGUUGUAAAGCACUUUCAGCGGGGAGGAAGGCGUUAAGGUUAAUAACCUCAUCGAUUGACGUUACCCGCAGAAGAAGCACCGGCUAACUCCGUGCCAGCAGCCGCGGUAAUACGGAGGGUGCAAGCGUUAAUCGGAAUUACUGGGCGUAAAGCGCACGCAGGCGGUCUGUCAAGUCGGAUGUGAAAUCCCCGGGCUCAACCUGGGAACUGCAUUCGAAACUGGCAGGCUAGAGUCUUGUAGAGGGGGGUAGAAUUCCAGGUGUAGCGGUGAAAUGCGUAGAGAUCUGGAGGAAUACCGGUGGCGAAGGCGGCCCCCUGGACAAAGACUGACGCUCAGGUGCGAAAGCGUGGGGAGCAAACAGGAUUAGAUACCCUGGUAGUCCACGCCGUAAACGAUGUCGAUUUGGAGGUUGUGCCCUUGAGGCGUGGCUUCCGGAGCUAACGCGUUAAAUCGACCGCCUGGGGAGUACGGCCGCAAGGUUAAAACUCAAAUGAAUUGACGGGGGCCCGCACAAGCGGUGGAGCAUGUGGUUUAAUUCGAUGCAACGCGAAGAACCUUACCUGGUCUUGACAUCCACAGAACUUUCCAGAGAUGGAUUGGUGCCUUCGGGAACUGUGAGACAGGUGCUGCAUGGCUGUCGUCAGCUCGUGUUGUGAAAUGUUGGGUUAAGUCCCGCAACGAGCGCAACCCUUAUCCUUUGUUGCCAGCGGUCCGGCCGGGAACUCAAAGGAGACUGCCAGUGAUAAACUGGAGGAAGGUGGGGAUGACGUCAAGUCAUCAUGGCCCUUACGACCAGGGCUACACACGUGCUACAAUGGCAUAUACAAAGAGAAGCGACCUCGCGAGAGCAAGCGGACCUCAUAAAGUAUGUCGUAGUCCGGAUUGGAGUCUGCAACUCGACUCCAUGAAGUCGGAAUCGCUAGUAAUCGUAGAUCAGAAUGCUACGGUGAAUACGUUCCCGGGCCUUGUACACACCGCCCGUCACACCAUGGGAGUGGGUUGCAAAAGAAGUAGGUAGCUUAACCUUCGGGAGGGCGCUUACCACUUUGUGAUUCAUGACUGGGGUGAAGUCGUAACAAGGUAACCGUAGGGGAACCUGCGGUUG
rnacentral:rRNA from 1 species